rnacentral:lncRNA from 1 species
GGGUGGGCGAUUUUACUUUUGGCAUGUGAUUUUUAGAAAACAAUCUCUUCUUGGUAAGAGUUUAGCCUUGGCGCUGAGUAGUUUUGGAGAGGGAGUUCUAAAUCAGAUCUAGGUGAUUCUCUGCUAAUCUUCUAUACUCCAGUGACCUCCGUCGAUUCAUCUUCAAUCUUGAAAGAGUCUGAGAUAAUUGGAGAAGAAGAUCCAACUA